GACUUGCCUUUCACCUUCCACCAUGAUUGUGAGCCUUCCCCAGCCACGUGAAACUGAUAUGGACAUGAUGCCUGGAGGAACAACUGACAUAUUUCAACUGUGAGAAUGAAAAUCAUGCAAUAGAGAUGUGGAACAGAAAGCUAGAAGAAUAAUUCACUCAACAAAUAAAACUUUUUACUAAUUUAAGCCA